rfam:Streptomyces toyocaensis strain NRRL 15009 contig00053, whole genome shotgun sequence.
UGAAUCCGCGCGGGAGAGUCCCCGGCACCAUGUGCCGCCGGGGCGCCGAAGGAGCAAGUCCCUCCCUUGAAUCUCUCAGGCACCGUUACCGCGCGGGCGAG